rnacentral:rRNA from 1 species
AGAGACCCUAGUUGAUCUCAGCGGCGUAAAGAGUGGUUAUGGAGUUUUUUUACUAAAGUGGAAGACCCCUCAAACUGUUACUGUUAUACGCACCCGGGGGUUAGAACCCCUUACACGAAAGUAGCUUUAUUAGUGUCCACCAGAACCCACGAAAGCCAGGGCACAAACUGGGAUUAGAUACCCCACUAUGCCUGGCCAUAAACUUAGAUGAUUCUAUACAAUUAACAUCCGCCAGGGGACUACGAGCAUCA